UCUAGUAUCUUUUUCUUCAGUGUUCCGGU
rnacentral:piRNA from 1 species